AAACCAUAAUGUGGACAAUACCUCAGCAAGUCCUUAUACCUCUCCCAUGCAUCAUACAUGCUCUCAUUAUCAAACUACACAAAAGAAGAAAUAUCAUUAUGCAUCU
rfam:Ricinus communis cultivar Hale ctg_1100012360591, whole genome shotgun sequence.